GGAUAAGGGUGCAAGGGCUCCAAUGACUUCACAUUUCUCCACAACUUACGAAAUGCAGGACUCUUUCUAAUAGCUAAAGUUGGAGUUAAAUCCUCAGUAAAAACUGUAAUUGCAGUGUAUUGUACAAGAUCAGCACUGGACUUUGCAAGAAACAAGUGAACAAUCAAUGAAGCAAAUGAUAACACCAAGCCUCCUAAUGCUGCCCAUUUUAUUUUAGAUUUCAUCUCAUCAACAACAACAACAAUAAUAAUAA
rnacentral:misc_RNA from 1 species